rnacentral:rRNA from 1 species
GUGGGGAAUAUUGGACAAUGGGCGCAAGCCUGAUCCAGCAAUGCCGCGUGUGUGAAGAAGGCCUUCGGGUUGUAAAGCACUUUUAUCGGGAGCGAAAAGCGGCCGGCUAAUAACCGGUCGUGCUGACGGUACCCGAGGAAUAAGCACCGGCUAACUUCGUGCCAGCAGCCGCGGUAAUACGAAGGGUGCAAGCGUUAAUCGGAAUUACUGGGCGUAAAGCGUGCGUAGACGGCCUUUUAAGUCUGCUGUGAAAGCCCUGGGCUCAACCUGGGAACUGCAGUGGAUACUGUGAGGCUGGAGUGCGGUAGAGGAUGGUGGAAUUCCCGGUGUAGCGGUGAAAUGCGUAGAGAUCGGGAGGAACAUCAGUGGCGAAGGCGGCCAUCUGGACCAGCACUGACGUUGAGGCACGAAAGCGUGGGGAGCAAACAGGAUUAGAAACCCCAGUAGUCC